AGGAUUUUCUCAGACAUUUGAGCUGGACCAAAUGGCUCUACUUCUAAACAAACACGAAAACGGAAGAGGAAAGAUGAAGAAUGUGGAAAUACUAGAGAAGGUGGUGGACAAUAAAUGGUUGAUCAUGUAUCCUGAUUACACAUUCCAACACAGCAACAUCCUCAUUGUAUCCAGCUUGGUGUCGUUGAAGACAAAGUGCAGGGGGUGGCUGUAGAAC